GACUAGGCCAGGAAUGGGGAACAGACCCAGGGCUUGGUGGGGAGUGCUGUGGUAUCUUACAAAAAGGCUGCAUUCCAGGAACAGCUCGCCCUACCUUACAGUGGGCAGUUUUGCCAGGGGGUGGACUGCCAGGUAUCCCAAAGGCAGUAUUGGGGUGUGGGCAUCUAUGAAGCCUAGAGAUGGGGGUUGAUCAUCACUUGCUGGCAGGAGUAGCCACAUUCUGCAACAGAGAGUGUUCUACUUCUCUUUGGCUCUGUGUCAUAGAGAUGGGUCCCCCGUGCUAGGAAUGAGUCCUUCAGCGUCCAGGCUGAUAGACAAACAUGACCUGAACAUGGGUGGCUCUGCUUGGGAGAGGUUUUGAAGCUCCCUGGAAAUCUCUGCUGGCUCAGGAGGGGCACUGAAGGAAGGCUAGGUUCUGAUCCUUGGGAUAGAAGCACUGUAUCUGAGAAACAGGUGCAUAUGAAUUCCAGAGACACCUCUAUGGCCUUGGGUUGGACACUUAUGUGCAUUUUGCAUCCUGAAACACGGAUUAUAUAUAACUUGACCAUGUCUCCACUUGUGGCCAGGCCUUAGUUCCUGUGGUGACAAACCUUUCCCAUCCUGGAGGUGAGGGGGGUGAUAUUUGAAGGAAGCAGGAGGAGGAUGAGAGCAUUGGUGGGGUUGGAACAUGAUGACAUGAGCUAGGAGAGGAGUAAGGCUCUCUGGAUUUUCUCUGUGAAACUGUUAUACUAUGGCCCUUCCCUCUAUGACCCAGUUGGUCAGUGAAGAGGGAGUGCCCAGUAGUCUGGUGUUUGGUCUGUCUUCAAGGAGUAAAUUGGCAUCCUGGAAUUUGGACCUCAUUGUAGAAAUAUUGGCAAUACUGAGGGACCUAUGAGAAAGACAAAUGUCCAUUACUGUCUUGCCUAGGACUCCAUCAUGGCUUCACCGCACUUCUCUACAUGGAAACCAUGUCUGCUUCCCUCAGUCUGGGACCCUAAUUGGGUAUUGCUGUCUAUCUACCCAUGGUGAGCCUUUGCUUAUGAGAGGCUGAGAGUUACAUCUUCUGGUCCCCACUUGGUAGGCAGAAGACACUGAAUAAAUCCUGGCCUGAAAAGUAAGGGACAUGUAUGGUUCCUUUGAUAUUUCUGUCAGGCACUUUUCUUGAUAAACUGUCUUAUGAGAAGCUGAUGUCUCCACUUUUGUGCCCUCUCUUCAUCUCUGCAGAACCUGAGUUUAUGUGGCCAUCUCAACUGUGAAAUGAGCUUUCCACUACUCCUAGAGAGAGCCAUGUCUCCAGGAACUCAUCCAAAGUCAGGGUGGUCUCCAAUCCUGGAGUCUGAGCUAUCCUUUCCAGAAGCGAGUUCCCUGAUGCCUUUUUGAGAAACUGGAAUCUGGAAGAGUGGCAGAGUUAGUAAUGCCCAGAGCUGGGACCAGAAGCCAAAUUUGUGUUCCUUCUACUUCCCAUCCAAAGAAUACCAGAAAUUGGAAAAGUCACAUAAGCAACUUUAAAACUGGGGCACUGUCCCAGAACUCAGCAAGACCCUGGGAAAGGGAGACAUAGGAUUUAUAAUCCCUGAAUAAUGGCCUUUGGAAGGGACAAAGAUAUGGAGAACGGAGGAAAGAAAGUGGAAAACGAGCCAGAAGCUACUCACAAAGUGGAGUGCUGCUGAGUAGCCAGGGCUCCAUUUCUCUCACUCUCCUGCUUCUUCCCAGGCACCAAGGCCGACCCUGGAGCCACCUCCUGCCAGAAAGAGCGGAAGAGCUCCUGAGCCUAUGGCCACCUAGCCUGGUGCUCUGUCCAUAGAGGAGCCCCAGUCCUGAAGGCUGGUGAUAAGAGGCUGUCCAAAAGACUCCCGAAGUUCCCCACGAAAUUGGGAAGCCUGGGCCUGGGCUCACCAUCCCAGGGUUGUGGACUAGGAUGGGGGAUGGGCCUGUGACAGGAGGUGCCCUGGGUGUCCUCUUUCGGCCCCAUGGAGUCCUCACCCAUCCCCCACUCAGCAGGGAACUCUUCCAUUUUGGGGAGGGUUCCUCAAACUCCAGGUCCCUCCACUGCCAGUGAGGUCCCAGAGGUGGGCCUGCGGGACAUAGCUUCAGAAUCUGUGGCCCUCUUCUUCAUGCUCCUGCUGGACUUAACUGCUGUGGCUGCCAAUGCUGCUGUGAUGGCCGUUAUUGCCAAGACGCCUGCCCUCCGAAAAUUUGUCUUUGUCUUCCACCUCUGCCUAGUGGACCUGCUGGCUGCCCUGACGCUCAUGCCUUUGGCCAUGCUCUCCAGUUCUGCCCUCUUUGACCAUACCCUCUUUGGAGAGGUGGCCUGUCGCCUCUACUUGUUCCUGAGUGUGUGCUUUGUCAGCCUGGCCAUCCUCUCUGUGUCAGCCAUCAAUGUGGAGCGCUACUAUUACGUGGUCCACCCCAUGCGCUACGAGGUGCGCAUGACGCUAGGGCUGGUAGCCUCUGUGCUGGUGGGUGUUUGGGUGAAGGCCCUGGCCAUGGCUUCUGUGCCAGUGUUGGGAAGAGUCUCCUGGGAGGAAGGCGCUCCCAGUGUCCCCCCAGGCUGUUCACUCCAAUGGAGCCACAGUGCCUACUGCCAGCUUUUUGUGGUGGUCUUUGCCAUCCUGUACUUCUUGUUGCCCUUGCUCCUCAUCCUUGUGGUCUACUGCAGCAUGUUCCGAGUGGCUCGUGUUGCUGCCAUGCAGCAUGGGCCACUGCCCACAUGGAUGGAGACACCCCGGCAGCGCUCCGAGUCUCUCAGUAGUCGAUCCACUAUGGUCACCAGUUCUGGGGCCCCGCAGACCACUCCACACCGGACGUUUGGGGGAGGGAAGGCGGCAGUGGUCCUCUUGGCUGUGGGGGGACAGUUCCUGCUUUGUUGGUUGCCCUACUUUUCUUUCCAUCUCUACGUUGCAAUGAGUGCUCAGCCCAUUUCAACUGGGCAGGUGGAGAGGGUGGUGACUUGGAUUGGCUACUUUUGCUUCACUUCCAACCCUUUCUUCUAUGGAUGUCUCAACCGGCAGAUCCGGGGGGAGCUCAGCAAGCAGUUUGUCUGCUUCUUCAAGCCUGCUCCAGAGGAGGAGUUGAGGCUGCCUAGCAGGGAGGGCUCUAUUGAGGAGAACUUUCUGCAGUUCCUUCAGGGGACAGGCUGUCCCACCGAAAACUGGGUUUCCAGGCCUCCACCCAGCCCUAAGCAGGAGCCACCUGCUGUUGACUUUCGAAUCCCAGGCCAGAUAGCUGAGGAGACCUCUGAGUUCCUGGAGCAGCAACUCACCAGUGACAUCAUCAUGUCGGACAGCUACCUCCAUCCUGGCCCCUCACCCCGACUGGAGUCAUGAUGGGCUGUUGGACACCUGAAGGGAGAUGGGUUUGAGGGCCAGUCAUGGUCACGAGGAGCGCUUUGUGGGACCACUUUUCCAGCUGUCUGGGUCUGGGUCUGGGGUCUCCGCACACAGCUUUUGCUUAGCAUUUCCUGGUUCAGGACCAGAGCCAACAGGAUGGACAUGUGGCAAAAGCUUUAGACUUGGCCGACCUUUGAUUACUGGGGGAGGGAACCUGGGUAUGAUGAGACGGUGGCGAGAGGAAAAGGUCACAAAGGACUGGCCUCCCUGAUCUCUCUCCUCAUGGCAGUGACCCAUCUCCAGCCCCCUGGACAAUCGGGUACAAAAGACCAAGGUUGGGCAUGGGAAGGGUUGGGUAUCCAUGGUCCAUUAAAUUCCUCCCUGUUCCCAUUCAUCACUCUCAAAAUUAGCUUCAAUGGCAAAGACUUAAAUCUCUCUUAUCUGUAUCCCUGGGUUGGAAAGAGAGCACAGAAGCCUUUUAUUGGUUAAGAGUAUAGGAACUAUGUUGACUGGUAUUGGUAGUAGUUCUUUUUUUUUUUUAAAGACAGAUCUCACUAUAUAGUUCAGGCUGGCCUUGAAUUUGUUAUGUAGUUCAGGCUGGCCUUGAACUUGUGGUGAUCCUCCUGCCUCAGCCUUCCAAGUGCUGGGAUUACAGGCAAGCCUGGCUGGUAGUGGUAUAUUCAAUGGAGAGGGAAAAAUUCAAGCUGGACAACACCCCCAUCUGGGGCCACCUGUCCAUCUCAUCCCCCUUCACUGAAUUCAGUAACACAAAAGGACCAAAGAGAGCCAAGGCAAGGCUAGAGGGUGGUGUGGCCUAUAUUUGAACAAAUUAUUGAUAUGCUGAGCAUCAAAGGGGGAAAAUGGUGUCAGUGGGAGUGGGAUAGUUUCCCCUUUGAACAGCCAAUAAAUAAUUUUUAUGAUAAAGGUACACUGAUAUCAACAUUGACUCCUUCAAUUCAAUUCAAUUCAAUUCAGUGCAUAAUAAUUGAAUAUCCACUAUUCCCUGGCAUCUACAAGGAGGAUGUGUAUUUACUGCCUUCAAGGAGUCCAUAGCCUAAUUUGGUAGAUACUUAGUAUUUUUUUAUAGAGCAUUUAGACCUGAUAAAGCACUUAAGAAACAUAUUGGAGAAUAUAUAUCCAUCGUUCUAGUUUCUGAGAGUUCAUCUUAGUAUUAAAGGCUUCCUGAAGAUUGUGGCAAGUAUGAGGAUUGUAAGUGAAACAUCAAAUGAAACUGGGCAAACAGCCUUUUCCCUUUUGAACUAGGAACAUUUCCAGGUUUUUGUCUUCCUACCCCUAAACUGUUCUAGCUUAGUGCCUAUCAUAGUGAAGACAUCCCUUAGAAAGAAAGUAUAUAUAGCAAGGAGUGUCCUUUGCAAAUAAAACAAAACAAAAACUGCCUUUCACCAUAAAUGCAUACCUAGGAAUUUCAUUAGGGGAGAAACUUUCAAACACUUCUAGAUCUAAGGGAUUACCAGCAGAUGGCAGUGUAACUCCAUUGGAAAUAGAAAGGUGUGUGUAUGUGGGAGGGAGAAAAAAGGAGGGCAUCAAACAUUGCUUGGCAGCCAUUUUGUUAAUUUAUUUUGCUUUUGUUGUUUGACAUUGUCUUUCAACUCUUCCUUUACAUACAUCAAAGAAGAAAGUUUUUUAAGUGCAAGGAUAUCUCUAAUUCAGGCUGAGCUUACCUGUCACUGUGAUCUCACUGGCAUUUACCACAGAGUUUGACAUAUAUGGUGUUUUAUUUGACAUUUAUUUUUCCCUGUAAGAAUGGAUCAUGAAGAAAAUAAAAGUUUAUCUUUUUUAUGCUGAGAAUUUUCCCAAAAAUUUUUGCUAUGAGCACUUUCCAGAAUUUUCAAGUAAUCAGGCCAACUUGAUAAAGUUCAGUACAUAAUCCUUAGCUCUGAAAAACAUACCUGAGCAAAGUCCAACCUCCUUAACAUACUGAAGAAUCAACAGGUGGAGGAAACAAUCAUGUCAGAUACGUUUUCCUACAUUCUGCUGGUACUGGAGUGAUUUUCCAGCCUUGAUGAAAACCAUAGAUUUUCUGUUUUUAGGUGCCCUAGACAACAUCCUUUAGAAGGCAUGGUUUUAAAAAAAUGUAUGUGUGGAGUGAAAUUGUAGUCAAAACUUGGGUCUGCCUACUCACUGUGUGAAAUUGGGAAAGCUGCUUAACUCUCUGAGCCUAUUUCCUCAUCUGUAAAAAUGGGGAUCAUUAUUACCUACCUCACAGGGUUGUUGUGAGGAUUGAAAUGAGAGUUGGAAGCACCUAGCCAUACCUGGCAAAUAGGUACUCAAUAAAUACUGGUUUUUUUCUUCCC